rnacentral:rRNA from 1 species
GACGAACGCUGGCGGCGUGCUUAACACAUGCAAGUCGAACGGAAAGGCCCUGCUUUUGUGGGGUGCUCGAGUGGCGAACGGGUGAGUAACACGUGAGUAACCUGCCCUUGACUUUGGGAUAACUUCAGGAAACUGGGGCUAAUACCGGAUAUGAGCUCCUGCUGCAUGGUGGGGGUUGGAACGUUUCGGCGGUUGGGGAUGGACUCGCGGCUUAUCAGCUUGUUGGUGGGGUAGUGGCUUACCAAGGCUUUGACGGGUAGCCGGCCUGAGAGGGUGACCGGCCACAAUGGGACUGAGAGACGGCCCAGAAUGCUACGGGAGGCAGCAGUGGGGAAUAUUGCACAAUGGGCGGAAGCCUGAUGCAGCAACGCCGCGUGCGGGAUGACGGCCUUCGGGGUGUAAACAGAUUUAGCAGGUGAAGAAGAGUGAGUGACGGUAAUGGGUAAAGAAGCACCGGCUAACUACGUG